UGGGGAAUAUUGGACAAUGGGGGAAACCCUGAUCCAGCAAUGCCGCGUGAGUGAAGAAGGCCUUAGGGUUGUAAAGCUCUUUCGCCCGCGAAGAUAAUGACGGUAGCGGGAGAAGAAGCCUCGGCUAACUCCGUGCCAGCAGCCGCGGUAAUACGGAGGGGGCUAGCGUUGUUCGGAAUUACUGGGCGUAAAGCGUACGUAGGCGGAUGCGCAAGUUGGGGGUGAAAUCCCGGGGCUUAACCUCGGAAUUGCCCUCAAAACUGCACGUCUUGAGACCGAGAGAGUGAAGGGGAAUUCCUAGUGUAGAGGUGAAAUUCGUAGAUAUUAGGAAGAACACCAGUGGCGAAGGCGCCUACUGGCUCGGUACUGACGCUGGGGUACGAAAGCGUGG
rnacentral:rRNA from 1 species